ACUAACUAAUGGUAUAAUACAUGCUGCUUUUAUGCUCCUCUUUAAAGAUUCUCUUCGUCUGUUUGCAGCUUAUAAUGAAGGGAUCCUUAAUCUGCUAGGCAAAUAUUUUGACAUGAGGAAGAACCAAUGCAGGGAAAGUUUGGAUAUUUACAUCAAGUUCCUUCAAGGAAGAACCAAAUUGAUACAGUUUCUGAACGUUGCAGAGCAAGUUGGAAUUGACCAACGCAACAUUCCAUAU